AGCCAACCAUGCCUCCCGAGGAGCAGAUGCCUCCUCUCUGAGCGGCCGGAGAGACCCGGAUGUGAUGCCAGCGGAGAAGCAGGCGAGAAAAGCAUGGAAGGGUGUGGGGUCAAUCGUCGACGGCAGGAGCCCGGGGGAAUCUUUCCAAGGCGUCUUGAGUCCUGUGCUGGGAUUCAAAGCCAGGCCUGCCCAGGUCAGCCGACGGCGACCGGUUCUUCAGGAACUCACCUACAGUUAGUUUUGCUUCUGAAAACACCACUGGAAGGCCACCAUCAGUGGCGUAUUUUAUGGACACCACCUACCCCCACCCAGGUGUGGUCACAGGGCCCUGAGCCUUGGGACCCAGGGAGAGCAUGGGGCAGACUUCUCCGUGAUCUGAUCAAAUAUUUGGUCAGCUUCCAG
rnacentral:lncRNA from 1 species